AGCUAGGAAAGAAGGUAUGGAAGUGGGAGAGAACAUUUAGGAAAGAGAUUUCAAAGAGAUUACAAGAGAAAUCUUCCAAAAGCACAAAAGGGCCAUUCAAAGUAAAAGAGAGAGAAGAAGAGCAUCCAAGUGAAUUCCAAAGCUUCCUCUCCAACUGUGUGCUGCCUCGGUGAUCCUCUACCUCGUGCAAAAUCAGAAGAGGGUCAAGUAAAG
rnacentral:lncRNA from 1 species